rnacentral:rRNA from 1 species
CGACCGGCGCACGGGUGAGUAACACGUAUCCAGCCUGCCGAUGACUCGGGGAUAGCCUUUCGAAAGAAAGAUUAAUACCCGAUGGCAUAGUUCUUCCGCAUGGUAGAACUAUUAAAGAAUUUCGGUCAUCGAUGGGGAUGCGUUCCAUUAGGUUGUUGGCGGGUAACGGCCCACCAAGCCUUCGAUGGAUAGGGGUUCUGAGAGGAAGGUCCCCCACAUUGGAACUGAGACACGGCCCAG